rnacentral:misc_RNA from 1 species
AGGUUCCUCUACCUAAUUUCCCUUUUUUCUUUUGAAAAAAUAAUUUUAAUGUUGUAGACAACUAUGAAUUUUCUGAAUGCAAUAUUCUCUGUUUUGUGUUUAAUUGGAUUUUGUUUGUUUCAAUGGAUUAUGUAGCUCUUAAUAGGAAUUAGGAACACUUGUGCUGGGAAUUUGGUGGUAUGAAUGAGUGAUUUGUGACUUUUUGUUUGCUAAGGUUUGUGAUAGAUUAUUGUUUGAGAAGUACCUUUGAUGCAUUAUGAGGGCAAGAUUAUUUGGAAGAGAUUAUGGUGGUGUUCUCGGAAUUGGGCUCAAGUCUAAUUUUCUUUCCAGGAUGCACCAGUUUAACAAUUUUUUUUUAAUUAAUUGCCAGAAAUAUUACAGUCACCAAGUUUUCCUGUUGGUUUUGUUUUAGUUGUUGCAUACUCCUGUUUUGCUUUUAUUUUGAUUAUUUUUAAAUUUUCCUAUGGGGAAGAUGACCAACGGACUGGUCCUUCAUUUUUCUGUGGAACGGUUAGGUAAAUAGUUGCCCCCCUCCAAAUGGCAUUCAAGAACGCACAGUUCAUGUACCAAGGUGUAAAAAUGGCCAAUCUAAAUUUUAUCUAUUUGAUACGCUGAUUCUAUUUAAAUAGGAAAUUAGUUGGUGAUUUAUGGUAUUUAGUUAUCUUAAAACUCUAUGUCUUUAUCCACAAAGUUUAUUUAAUUAUAACAGGUUUCCUUUUACUUAAAGUUUUCCCAUUUAAGUACCAGUUUACUACUUAUAUUUUAAAAUUUAAAACACUUUCAAAGCUAAUAAAUCUCGUGCAACGUUCAAACUUCAAAGUUGAAUAUCUGCCUAUAUCCAUGUUGAGAAAAGAAAUAUGUACCUGAGCUUGGCUUAAGGAAUUUGUUAAGUUCUUGUCCUACAUUUUUGUUAUUCUGAAUAUUUAAUUCAAUAGCCACUGUUAAGCCAGGUCUCCCAAAAAAAUCACUUUGUGUAAGAUGACCCAGUAAGAAGUUUGGGAAAAUGUAAAAGCAUUCUCCAUUUUUAUAAUGACUGUGCCUCAACAUUCCCCAUGUCUUUUAUCCAUUUAUUUUUAAUACUGUGCAUCCAAGCUGUGUGGAUUGCCCUCUGAAUAUUGGUCAUGCCACUGUAAACUUUUCAUUAUCAUACCCCACAUGAUCUUUCUUUGUCUUAUCCUGCCAAAUCAUUCAUUUUCACCUUUAUAAGUGAUUCAGAAGGGUAUCUUUUGUUGACAAUAAUAGGGUUAGUAAAGCGUGGGUUGCAACAGGAAUGAUAAGUAAUUUAGGAUGUAGACAUGUGAACUGUAUUGCAUAGCACAUUUUGUAUUGAACCUCAUUUUUCUCAUAUGAUAAAUUUAGUUCCCUUGUUUCCCUUGUUAUGAUAUUUUCUUACCAUUGGUUUUCCUUGAAUUACUAAGAAAAUGUGUGGUUGUAUGAAAAUGGUUUUUCAAGUGGUGGUUUUACUGAAAUCUUGUAGGUGUCGAUGUCAGUAUGAAUACACACUUGAGGACAGUGAAAUUGACAUUGAAGGGUAAAAAUCCAGUUACUCUUGAUCAUUUAAGCGUGAGAGGAAACAACAUCCGCUACUAUAUCCUUCCUGAUAGCUUGAACUUGGAAACUCUACUUGUGGAAGAAACACCAAGGGUUAAGCCCAAGAAGGCAACUGCUGGGAAGCCUUUGGGACGUGGUCGGGGGCGAGGACGUGGCCGUGGACGUGGCCGAGGUCGCUAAUCAUGUACAUUUCAGUUUGUAUCAGAUUUCAAUACCAAUUAGUGUAUAGGUGGAGAGCACUUCAAAACAAAAAGGAAGUGAUCGCAAGUGUAGAACUGAAUGUUCUAUACUGUAUGGAUCCUUGUUAACUUUCUUGCAUAUCUGGAUGUAGCUAGUUUUUCCGUGCAUGAAAAAAUCAAAGAGAAAUGCUUAGUUUACCAUCAUGGGCUGAUGAUAUUAUCAGCAGAUGCUGCUGAAAUUUGACUGUCGUGUGAAGUAGAAUUACACUACAUUUCAGUUGCUAAAUUAUGCAUUGAUACUUCAUAGAGGUAUGCUAUCUUGAGAAUUGAAUUGCUAUUUAAAGUGAAUUAUGAAGCAGGGUGAGGAAUUGCUAUGUUUGUUGUCUUUGAGGCUCUUUUGCCCUUGGGGAAGGGGUAGGGCUAGUGUUACAUCACCAAUAUAUGUCUGUGCAUUUGCUUUUGGGCUUCCCCGCUUGUUAAUGGUCAAAACAACAGUCAUAUGGAA